rnacentral:rRNA from 1 species
UACGGGGGGGGUAAGCGUUGUUCGGAAUUACUGGGCGUAAAGGGCUCGUAGGCGGCCAACUAAAUCGGACGUGAAAUCCCUCAGCUUAACUGGGGAACUGCGUCCGAUACUGGAUGGCUUGGAUUUGGGAGAGGGAUGCGGAAUUCCAGGUGUAGCGGUGAAAUGCGUAGAUAUCUGGAGGAACACCGGUGGCGAAGGCGGCAUCCUGGACCAAUAUUGACGCUGAGGAGCGAAAGCUAGGGGAGCAAACGGG